rnacentral:tRNA from 1 species
GGCCCCAUCGUCUAGUGGUUAGGACGUCAGGUUUUCAUCCUGGUAACCGGGGUUCGAUUCCCCGUGGGGUCACCA